UACGGAGGGAGCUAGCGUUGUUCGGAAUUACUGGGCGUAAAGCGCGCGUAGGCGGCUUUGUAAGUUAGAGGUGAAAGCCCGGGGCUCAACCCCGGAACUGCCUUUAAGACUGCAUCGCUUGAAUCCGGGAGAGGUGAGUGGAAUUCCGAGUGAUAGAGGUGAAAUUCGUAGAUAUUCGGAAGAACACCAGUGGCGAAGGCGGCUCACUGGACCGGAACUGACGCUGGAGGCGACGAAAGCGUGGGGAGCAAACAGG
rnacentral:rRNA from 1 species